CAGUCGAACGAAGCACCUUUUGAGAUUCUUCGGAUGAUCGAUCGGUGACUCAGUGGCGGACGGGUGAGUAACGCGUGGGGAACCUGCCCUGUACAGGGGGAUAACAGCUGGAAACGGCUGCUAAUACCGCAUAAGCGCACGAGGAGACAUCUCCUAGUGUGAAAAACUCCGGUGGUACAGGAUGGGCCCGCGUCUGAUUAGCUGGUUGGCAGGGUAACGGCCUACCAAGGCAACGAUCAGUAGCCGGUCUGAGAGGAUGAACGGCCACAUUGGAACUGAGACACGGUCCAAACUCCUACGGGAGGCAGCAGUGGGGAAUAUUGCACAAUGGGGGAAACCCUGAUGCAGCAACGCCGCGUGAGUGAAGAAGUAUUUCGGUAUGUAAAGCUCUAUCAGCAGGGAAGAAGAAAUGACGGUACCUGACUAAGAAGCCCCGGCUAACUACGUGCCAGCAGCCGCGGUAAUACGUAGGGGGCAAGCGUUAUCCGGAUUUACUGGGUGUAAAGGGAGCGCAGGCGGCAUGAUAAGUCUGAUGUGAAAACCCAAGGCUCAACCAUGGGACUGCAUUGGAAACUGUCGUGCUGGAGUGUCGGAGAGGUAAGCGGAAUUCCUAGUGUAGCGGUGAAAUGCGUAGAUAUUAGGAGGAACACCAGUGGCGAAGGCGGCUUACUGGACGAUGACUGACGCUGAGGCUCGAAAGCGUGGGGAGCAAACAGGAUUAGAUACCCUGGUAGUCC
rnacentral:rRNA from 1 species